rnacentral:rRNA from 1 species
AUACGGAGGACGCGAGCGUUAUCCGGAUUCAUUGGGUUUAAAGGGUGCGCAGGCGGCCGUGCAAGUCAGCGGUGAAAGCCCGGGGCUCAACCCCGGAAGUGCCGUUGAUACUGCAUGGCUGGAAUGCGGUCGAGGCGGGCGGGACGUGGCGUGUAGCGGGGGAAUGCGGAGAAAUGCCCCAGAACGCCGAUAGCGGAGGCAGCUCGCCAGGCCUGCAUUGACGCUCGGGCACGAAAGCGUGGGGAUCGAACAGGAUUAGAUACCCUGGUAGUCCACGCCGUAAACGAUGGGCGCUCGUCGUCGGCGGCAGACAGUCGGCGGCCAAGCGAAAGCGAUAAGCGCCCCACCUGGGGAGUACGGUCGCAAGGCUGAAACUCAAAUGAAUUGACGGGG